UGUGGGCUAAAUCCCACUUCCUCAGAUGCAUGGAGUGGAAAAUACAGUAGGGAGGUAUAAAUACACAGCACAUGAAAAGAUGGGAGUUGCCUUACCAAGUGGGGGAUCGGUGCUUAAGAGUCAAUUCAAUUAAGUUGGAGGUGGCCUAUUCUCAACAGUUGACAAGAAGGGGUGGAAGUCACUUCUGUAGUGCUAAUGAGGCCAAUGUAAUCAAGGUGGCCCAUUUCAAACAAAUUGACAAGAAGGCGUGAGU